rnacentral:rRNA from 1 species
GCCGCGAUAUUUUGAUCGUGCGAAGGUAGCAUAAUCAUUAGCUUUUUAAUUGGGAGCUAGUAUGAAGGAUUGGACGAGAAACUUUCUGUCUCUAUUUUAUUGGUUGAAUUUUAUUUUUGAGUUAAAAGGCUUAAAUAUUUUUGUAAGACGAGAAGACCCUAUAGAGUUUAAUAUUUGAUGAUUUUAUUAAAAUUUUAGGAUAAAAUUUUUUGAUUCUGUGAAUAUUUAGUUGGGGUGAUGGAAAAAUUUUAUAAACUUUUUCUUUUUAAAAUAUUAAUUUAUAGACUUUUGAUUUAUUUAUAAUAUAAUUAAAAGAUUAAAUUACCUUAGGGAUAACAGCGUAAUUUUUCUAAAGAGUUCUUAUCGAAAGAAAAGGUUGCGACCUCGAUGUUGGAUUAAAAUUUAAAUUUGGUGUAAAAGCUGAAUAAAAUUAGUCUGUUCGACUAUUAAAAUUUUACAUGAUCUGAGUUUAAACCGGCGUGAGCCAGGUUGGUUUCUAUCUUCAAUAGUUAAAAAUAUUUUAGUACGAAAGGACCAAAUAUUGUUUAAAUUAAUUUUAUUUUGACUAAUAUU